UCAGACACGGCCGGAGAGAGUGUCGCCGACGGGGCCGGAUCGAGCGCUGCGGCGCGCUGUCCGGCCUUUGUCUGGUUCGACACCGCCGAAGGCGCAACCGCCCGGAAACGCUCAGGCAAAAGAACGGCAUGUCGUUG
rnacentral:ncRNA from 1 species